AAUUAGAUAAGCUAAUGUAAGCUAUCAGGUUCAUACCCUGUCAAUAGAAGUCGAAUCUUCUUCUAAUUA
rnacentral:tRNA from 1 species